GGUCUGCUAGCGCAAUGGCAGCGCACCUGUUUCCGGAGCAGGAGGUUGUCGGUUCGAGUCCGGCGCAGAUCG
rnacentral:tRNA from 1 species